UGCAAAGAAAGUGAGAGGAUGGUGCAAAAAGACCAGGCAGGGUUCCACUCUGCUGUACCCAGGGUCACUAGGAGCUGGAAUGUACUCGAUGGCAC